CUACGGGUUGCUGCAGUGAGGAAUAUUGCACAAUGGGGGGAACCCUGAUGCAGCAACGCCGCGUGGAGGAUGACGCAUUUCGGUGUGUAAACUCCUUUUAUAUGUCAAGAAAAUGACGGUAGCAUAUGAAUAAGCACCGGCUAACUCCGUGCCAGCAGCCGCGGUAAUACGGAGGGUGCAAGCGUUACUCGGAAUCACUGGGCGUAAAGGACGCGUAGGCGGGCUUGUAAGUCAGGUGUGAAAUCCUACAGCUUAACUGUAGAACUGCACUUGAAACUACGAGCCUAGAGUAUGGGAGGGGGAGAUGGAAUUAGUGGUGUAGGGGUAAAAUCUGUAGAUAUCACUAGGAAUACCUAAAGCGAAGGCGAUCUCCUGGAACAUUACUGACGCUAAGGCGUGAGAGCGUGGGGAGCAAACAGGAUUAGAUACCCCCGUAGUC
rnacentral:rRNA from 1 species